rnacentral:rRNA from 1 species
UGGGGAAUUUUGGACAAUGGGGGCAACCCUGAUCCAGCAAUGCCGCGUGAGUGAAGAGGGCCUUCGGGUUGUAAAGCUCUUUUGUCCGGGAAGAAAUCCCAUCCCUGAAUACGGGGUGGGGAUGACGGUACUGGAAGAAUAAGCACCGGCUAACUACGUGCCAGCAGCCGCGGUAAUACGUAGGGUGCAAGCGUUAAUCGGAAUUACUGGGCGUAAAGCGUGCGCAGGCGGUUGUGCAAGACCGAUGUGAAAUCCCCGGGCUUAACCUGGGAACUGCAUUGGUGACUGCACGGCUAGAGUGUGUCAGAGGGGGGUAGAAUUCCACGUGUAGCAGUGAAAUGCGUAGAGAUGUGGAGGAAUACCGAUGGCGAAGGCAGCCCCCUGGGAUAACACUGACGCUCAUGCACGAAAGCGUGGGGAGCAAACAGGAUUAGAUACCCUGGUAGUCCACGCCCUAAACGAUGUCAACUAGUUGUCGGGGAUUAAUUUCCUUGGUAACGCAGCUAACGCGUGAAGUUG